GACGAACGCUGGCGGCGUGCUUAACACAUGCAAGUCGAACGGUAAGGCCCUUCGGGGUACACGAGUGGCGAACGGGUGAGUAACACGUGGGUGAUCUGCCCUGCACUUCGGGAUAAGCCUGGGAAACUGGGUCUAAUACCGGAUAGGACCACUGCCUGCAUGGGUGGUGGUGGAAAGCUUUUGCGGUGUGGGAUGGGCCCGGGGCCUAUCAGCUUGUUGGUGGGGUGAUGGCCUACCAAGGCGACGACGGGUAGCCGGCCGGAGAGGGUGACCGGCCACACUGGGACUGAGAUACGGCCCAGACUCCUACGGGAGGCAGCAGUGGGGAAUAUUGCACAAUGGGCGCAAGCCUGAUGCAGCGACGCCGCGUGAGGGAUGACGGCCCUCGGGUUGUAAACCUCUUUCAGCACCGACGAAGCGCAAGUGACGGUAGGUGCAGAAGAAGGACCGGCCAACUACGUGCCAGCCGCCGCGGUAA
rnacentral:rRNA from 1 species